UGCCCCCAGUUCACCGAUUCCUGUGACAUCCCCAUCACAGUCCAUGGAUCUUUCCCAGAGUGCAUUGCAGGUUUCACAGCCCGCUGCUAACACUGGGGGGAUGAUCUCAUCCGCUGCCGCCUCAGUCACUUCCUGGUUCAGAGCGUACACUGGCCAGCGCUGAUUCACCCGUACCAGAACCUGUCCAGACCGGACUGGUGCAGAUCUGGAACUCCUGGAGGUCUCAGACUUUUGGUCUGGCUUUGGCAUCAAAGGUCAAAGGUCAGGCAGGCAGGUCAGAGGUCAGCAGGUCCAAAUGCCUGGAGCUGCUAAAGAGCCAAUCACAGAUUAUUAAGAUCAGGUACUCCAGGGUCCAGGUACAGUUUGGUUCAGGUUCACUAGGCCACUUGUUGAGAACUUUAUUUGAACUUGAAUGUUAUCAGCUUAUUAACAUGUAAUUAAUGGGUUAUAAUGACCAUAAUGUGUUAAUUCCUGUUUAUGACUAUAAGGAUUGUGGUAUCAGAUCAAACUCUGUAUUGAAUUCAACAGUGAUAGAUCAAUUCUAAACAUUAUAUAUAUAUAUAUACAUAUAUAUCAGCAGAUCAUCAUAAAACACAUCUGUAAUGGUUCCCACCAAACGUGAAUAUAUUCCCUUUAUUCUGUGUCACUGCAGGAGUUUGAGCCCACAAUAAUUUGAUGUUUCUGUGAUUUAAUGUUAAUAAACGGAUUAAUAUGAUGUUGAAAUAACGACAUCAUGAUGAUUGAUUUCUAAAGUCUGAAUUCAGACUGUCGGUCUGUCUGUAAGAUGACGAGCAAACUGCUUUUAAAAUGCCUGUUUUCUGAAUGCAGUUUGGUUGAUCAGGGCUACGCUAACUUAACCUUGGUGGCUCUCAGCAGACAGGUUGGGAAAAGAGAGAGAAGAUAAAUCCACUUUUUAAUCCCAAAAGUUUCAGUAAUAAACAUUGUGAAUGUGAAUGACUGUUUAUGGGCUCUCUCCUGCAGAGCUCCCCGGGCUCCAGCAGCUGUCUGUGGGCAGCAGCAGCAGCUCUGUCUCUCCCUCCUCCUCACAGACUGUAAACACCCCGACAUACGAUACGACCACCUCAAAUGUGUACAUUUUACACUCCCACAAAUACGUGAAUGAGGUUUUAUGCGUGUUCGUCAUUCACAUCCGCUGCCGUGAAUUCGUGUCCAUUCACGUCUUUGAUUUUGUAUGGAAUCUACUUGCAUAAAUAAUUAUAUUAAUCACGUUUGAUGGGAAUAAUAAACAAUAUAAAAUAAUAAUAACGUGCAUAAUAAUAUAAAAUCUGUCUUUAUAGGAGAAAUUAUAAUUAUAGAACAUUAAUAUCAGUUUAUAACACUUUAUAAUCUGUUAUAAACUAUUUAUUACAUGUUUAUAUGAAAAGAGCAAAGAAUCAUCUUUCACUACCUGUCGACCUGCCAGCCUGUCUGUCUGCCUAUCUGUCUGUCCGUCUGUCUCACCACAAAGGGAAAGUUUCUGUUUUUAUUUUCUCUUUUUGUUUGUUUUUUCUUCGUUUGUGAAACAAAGACAACAAACGGACUUCCUGCUGUGAUUACAGCAGUGCUAACAAACUCACAGCGGUUGCCAUGGCAAUAACGAACCCUGUUUAUACACACACCACACACACACACACACACACAGCGGACUGAAUGUGGUUCAGGUUGAUGGUUUACCUGUCCUACAGGUGAGUGUCAGCCUGAUGGAGAGAACUGGUUCUACACUGAUGUGUUUAAAGGACGUGUGACAUUUUCUGUUUCCAUGAAAAGAUUGAAAUGAAAUAAAAUCCUGUUUUCUGGUUUUCAA